rnacentral:rRNA from 1 species
AACGAACGCUGGCGGCAGGCCUAACACAUGCAAGUCGAGCGAGGACUUCGGUUCUAGCGGCGGACGGGUGAGUAACGCGUGGGAAUGUGCCCUUCUCUACGGAAUAGCCCUGGGAAACUGGGAGUAAUACCGUAUACGCCCUAUUGGGGAAAGAUUUAUCGGAGAAGGAUCAGCCCGCGUUGGAUUAGGUAGUUGGUGGGGUAAUGGCCUACCAAGCCGACGAUCCAUAGCUGGUUUGAGAGGAUGAUCAGCCACACUGGGACUGAGACACGGCCCAGACUCCUACGGGAGGCAGCAGUGGGGAAUCUUAGACAAUGGGGGCAACCCUGAUCUAGCCAUGCCGCGUGAGUGAUGAAGGCCUUAGGGUUGUAAAGCUCUUUCAGCUGGGAAGAUAUUGACGGUACCAGCAGAAGAAGCCCCGGCUAACUCCGU